GCCUCGGUAGUCUAAUUGGCUAAAACACUUGCGCGUAAAGCAGGCGAUUCAGGUUCGACUCCCGACUGAGGUA
rnacentral:tRNA from 1 species